UACGUAGGGACCAAGCGUUGUCCGGAAUCAUUGGGCGUAAAGAGCGUGUAGGCGGCUUGUUAAGUCUUGCGUGAAAUCUCGGGGCUCAACCCCGAGCGGUCGUGAGAAACUGGCAGGCUAGAGUGCGGGAGAGGAGAGUGGAAUUCCUGGUGUAGCGGUGAAAUGCGCAGAUAUCAGGAAGAACACCCGUGGCGAAGGCGGGUCUCUGGAACGCAACUGACGCUGAGGAGCGAAAGCGUGGGGAGCGAACAGG
rnacentral:rRNA from 1 species